GGAGGCCCCCGGGUGCCGGCCCGCCAGGGCCGAUGGUCCUCCCCGGGGAGCAGCCUGAGGAGACCCGGAAGUCUGGGGGCCUUCGGCGAAGAGGAGACGAGGACACAGACACACACGGGGACGACCCUGUGGGGACACAGGAUGGAGACGCAGCCACGCGCCCAGGAGAGGUCUCGGAGCCAGCCCUGCGACACCCGGGUCUCCCACCCCAGCCGCCGGGACCCGACGCUCCGGCUGCGACACCCGGGUGAAGGCGAGCCGAGCUGGCCACUCAGAAAGGUGCCUCUUCAGGGGCAGUGAUUGUUCGAAGUGGAUAACUCUGAAGAACAGCAGUACUGCGAGACUCUCGCCCGCCGGCGGGGCUCAGGGGCUGAGCAUCGACCUAGGAACCAGGAGGUCAGGGUUUGAUUCCCAGUCAGGGGACAGGCCCGGGGUUGCGGGCUGGAUCCCCAGUGGGGGGCGUGCGGGAGGCAGCUGAUCCGUGACUCUCAUCGUGGAUGUUCCUAUCUCUCCCUUCCUCUCUGAAAUCAAUAAAACUGUAUUU